CUCUAUAUGUCUAUAAUAUAAAGUAUAGUCUGCCCACUGACAGAGGUUAAAGGGCCGCGGUAUUUUGACCGUGCGAAGGUAGCAUAAUCACUAGCUUUUUAAUUGGGAGCUUGAAUGAACGGCUGGACGAUAAAAGAACUGUCUGAUUUGUUUGAUUAGAAUUUAACUUUUAUGUGAAAAGGCAUAAAUAAGAUAGGGGGACGAUAAGACCCUGUAAAACUUUACACGUUGUGGUCGGUUCUUAGAGUUAAUUAAUAAGUAUGGGCUUGAGGUUGUUGGGCUGGGGCGGCAAAAAUAUAAAAUUAAAAUUAGCUGUUUGAAAAAAAAUAUACUGAUAAGUAUAUAAUGAACCUUUAGUGUUAAAGAUUGAAAGAUUAAGUUACUUCAGGGAUAACAGCGUGAUUUUCUUUGAGAGUCCAUAUCGACAAGAUGAGUUGCGACCUCGAUGUUGAAUUAAGAUAAUAUUUAGGGGUAGAAGUUUAGUAUGGUAGGUCUGUUCGACCUUUAAUGUC
rnacentral:rRNA from 1 species